rnacentral:rRNA from 1 species
UUCGUCACACUAUCAUUAACUGAAUCCAUAGGUUAAUGAGGCGAACCGGGGGAACUGAAACAUCUAAGUACCCCGAGGAAAAGAAAUCAACCGAGAUUCCCCCAGUAGCGGCGAGCGAACGGGGAGCAGCCCAGAGCCUGAAUCAGUGUGUGUGUUAGUGGAAGCGUCUGGAAAGGCGCGCGAUACAGGGUGACAGCCCCGUACACAAAAAUGCACAUACUGUGAGCUCGAUGAGUAGGGCGGGACACGUGGUAUCCUGUCUGAAUAUGGGGGGACCAUCCUCCAAGGCUAAAUACUCCUGACUGACCGAUAGUGAACCAGUACCGUGAGGGAAAGGCGAAAAGAACCCCGGCGAGGGGAGUGAAAAAGAACCUGAAACCGUGUACGUACAAGCAGUGGGAGCACAGAGCAAUCUGUGUGACUGCGUACCUUUUGUAUAAUGGGUCAGCGACUUAUAUUCUGUAGCAAGGUUAACCGAAUAGGGGAGCCGAAGGGAAACCGAGUCUUAACUGGGCGUUAAGUUGCAGGGUAUAGACCCGAAACCCGGUGAUCUAGCCAUGGGCAGGUUGAAGGUUGGGUAACACUAACUGGAGGACCGAACCGACUAAUGUUGAAAAAUUAGCGGAUGACUUGUGGCUGGGGGUGAAAGGCCAAUCAAACCGGGAGAUAGCUGGUUCUCCCCGAAAGCUAUUUAGGUAGCGCCUCGUGAAUUCAUCUCCGGGGGUAGAGCACUGUUUCGGCAAGGGGGUCAUCCCGACUUACCAACCCGAUGCAAACUGCGAAUACCGGAGAAUGUUAUCACGGGAGACACACGGCGGGUGCUAACGUCCGUCGUGAAGAGGGAAACAACCCAGACCGCCAGCUAAGGUCCCAAAGUCAUGGUUAAGUGGGAAACGAUGUGGGAAGGCCCAGACAGCCAGGAUGUUGGCUUAGAAGCAGCCAUCAUUUAAAGAAAGCGUAAUAGCUCACUGGUCGAGUCGGCCUGCGCGGAAGAUGUAACGGGGCUAAACCAUGCACCGAAGCUGCGGCAGCGACGCUUAUGCGUUGUUGGGUAGGGGAGCGUUCUGUAAGCCUGUGAAGGUGUACUGUGAGGUAUGCUGGAGGUAUCAGAAGUGCGAAUGCUGACAUAAGUAACGAUAAAGCGGGUGAAAAGCCCGCUCGCCGGAAGACCAAGGGUUCCUGUCCAACGUUAAUCGGGGCAGGGUGAGUCGACCCCUAAGGCGAGGCCGAAAGGCGUAGUCGAUGGGAAACAGGUUAAUAUUCCUGUACUUGGUGUUACUGCGAAGGGGGGACGGAGAAGGCUAUGUUGGCCGGGCGACGGUUGUCCCGGUUUAAGCGUGUAGGCUGGUUUUCCAGGCAAAUCCGGAAAAUCAAGGCUGAGGCGUGAUGACGAGGCACUACGGUGCUGAAGCAACAAAUGCCCUGCUUCCAGGAAAAGCCUCUAAGCAUCAGGUAACAUCAAAUCGUACCCCAAACCGACACAGGUGGUCAGGUAGAGAAUACCAAGGCGCUUGAGAGAACUCGGGUGAAGGAACUAGGCAAAAUGGUGCCGUAACUUCGGGAGAAGGCACGCUGAUAUGUAGGUGAAGCGACUUGCUCGUGGAGCUGAAAUCAGUCGAAGAUACCAGCUGGCUGCAACUGUUUAUUAAAAACACAGCACUGUGCAAACACGAAAGUGGACGUAUACGGUGUGACGCCUGCCCGGUGCCGGAAGGUUAAUUGAUGGGGUCAGCGCAAGCGAAGCUCUUGAUCGAAGCCCCGGUAAACGGCGGCCGUAACUAUAACGGUCCUAAGGUAGCGAAAUUCCUUGUCGGGUAAGUUCCGACCUGCACGAAUGGCGUAAUGAUGGCCAGGCUGUCUCCACCCGAGACUCAGUGAAAUUGAACUCGCUGUGAAGAUGCAGUGUACCCGCGGCAAGACGGAAAGACCCCGUGAACCUUUACUAUAGCUUGACACUGAACAUUGAGCCUUGAUGUGUAGGAUAGGUGGGAGGCUUUGAAGUGUGGACGCCAGUCUGCAUGGAGCCGACCUUGAAAUACCACCCUUUAAUGUUUGAUGUUCUAACGUUGACCCGUAAUCCGGGUUGCGGACAGUGUCUGGUGGGUAGUUUGACUGGGGCGGUCUCCUCCUAAAGAGUAACGGAGGAGCACGAAGGUUGGCUAAUCCUGGUCGGACAUCAGGAGGUUAGUGCAAUGGCAUAAGCCAGCUUGACUGCGAGCGUGACGGCGCGAGCAGGUGCGAAAGCAGGUCAUAGUGAUCCGGUGGUUCUGAAUGGAAGGGCCAUCGCUCAACGGAUAAAAGGUACUCCGGGGAUAACAGGCUGAUACCGCCCAAGAGUUCAUAUCGACGGCGGUGUUUGGCACCUCGAUGUCGGCUCAUCACAUCCUGGGGCUGAAGUAGGUCCCAAGGGUAUGGCUGUUCGCCAUUUAAAGUGGUACGCGAGCUGGGUUUAGAACGUCGUGAGACAGUUCGGUCCCUAUCUGCCGUGGGCGCUGGAGAACUGAGGGGGGCUGCUCCUAGUACGAGAGGACCGGAGUGGACGCAUCACUGGUGUUCGGGUUGUCAUGCCAAUGGCACUGCCCGGUAGCUAAAUGCGGAAGAGAUAAGUGCUGAAAGCAUCUAAGCACGAAACUUGCCCCGAGAUGAGUUCUCCCUGACUCCUUGAGAGUCCUGAAGGAACGUUGAAGACGACGACGUUGAUAGGCCGGGUGUGUAAGCGCAGCGAUGCGUUGAGCUAACCGGUACUAAUGAACCGUGAGG